rnacentral:rRNA from 1 species
AUUGAACGCUGGCGGCAUGCCUUACACAUGCAAGUCGAACGGCAGCAUGGAGAGCUUGCUCUCUGAUGGCGAGUGGCGAACGGGUGAGUAAUGCAUCGGAACGUACCGUGUAAUGGGGGAUAACGUAGCGAAAGUUACGCUAAUACCGCAUACGACCUGAGGGUAAAAGCAGGGGAUCGCAAGACCUUGCGUUAUACGAGCGGCCGAUGUCAGAUUAGCUAGUUGGUGAGGUAAAGGCUCACCAAGGCGACGAUCUGUAGCGGGUCUGAGAGGAGGAUCCGCCACACUGGGACUGGGACACGGCCCAGACUCCUACGGGAGGCAGCAGUGGGGAAUUUUGGACAAUGGGGGCAACCCUGAUCCAGCCAUGCCGCGUGAGUGAAGAAGGCCUUCGGGUUGUAAAGCUCUUUCGGCCGGGAAGAAAUCGCACAGGCUAAUACUCUGUGUGGAUGACGGUACCGGCAUAAGAAGCACCGGCUAACUACGUGCCAGCCGCCGCAGUAA